rnacentral:rRNA from 1 species
AGCGAACGCUGGCGGCAGGCCUAACACAUGCAAGUCGAACGAACCCUUCGGGGUUAGUGGCGGACGGGUGAGUAACACGUGGGAACGUGCCUUUAGGUUCGGAAUAACUCAGGGAAACCUGUGCUCAUACCGAAUGUGCCCUUCGGGGGAAAGAUUUAUCGCCUUUAGAGCGGCCCGCGUCUGUUUAGCUAGUUGGUGAGGUAAUGGCUCACCAAGGCUACGAUCAGUAGCUGGUCUGAGAGGAUGACCAGCAACAUUGGGACUGAGACACGGCCCAAACUCCUACGGGAGGCAGCAGUGGGGAAUCUUGCGCAAUGGGCGAAAGCCUGACGCAGCCAUGCCGCGUGGAUGAUGAAGGUCUUAGGAUUGUAAAAUCCUUUCACCGGUGAAGAUAAUGACUGUAGCCGGAGAAGAAGCCCCGGCUAACUUCGUGCCAGCCGCCGCAGUAAAAC